rnacentral:rRNA from 1 species
AGCGAACGCUGGCGGCAGGCCUAACACAUGCAAGUCGAACGGACCCUUCGGGGUUAGUGGCGGACGGGUGAGUAACACGUGGGAACGUGCCUUUAGGUUCGGAAUAGCUCCUGGAAACGGGUGGUAAUGCCGAAUGUGCCCCUCGGGGGAAAGAUUUAUAGCCUUUAGAGCGGCCCGCGUCUGAUUAGCUAGUUGGUGGUGUAACGGACCACCAAGGCGACGGUCAGUAGCUGGUCUGAGAGGAUGAUCAGCCACAUUGGGACUGAGACACGGCCCAAACUCCUACGGGAGGCAGCAGUGGGGAAUCUUGCGCAAUGGGCGAAAGCCUGACGCAGCCAUGCCGCGUGAAUGAUGAAGGUCUUAGGAUUGUAAAAUUCUUUCACCGGGGACGAUAAUGACGGUACCCGGAGAAGAAGCCCCGGCUAACUUCGUGCCAGCAGCCGCAGUAAAAC